AGAAUCAACGCUGGCGGCGUGCCUAACACAUGCAAGUCGCACGAGAAAGUGGAGCAAUCCACGAGUAGAGUGGCGCACGGGUGAGUAACACGUGAAUAAUCUACCUCCGAGUGGGGAAUAACUGAGAGAAAUCUUAGCUAAUACCGCAUAAUACCCACGGGUCAAAGCAGCAAUGCGCUUGAAGAGGAGUUCGCGGCAGAUUAGUUAGUUGGCGGGGUAAUGGCCCACCAAGACGAUGAUCUGUA
rnacentral:rRNA from 1 species